GGAGAGCUGUUCACCAGACUCCUGCAGCCUGUGCUCACUCUCUGAGUUGUUGAGAAAAGGGGAGCUCUCCUAAGCAAACCUUUUCUCAUUCCCAAACCUAAUGACUCAAGAGAGAAUGCCCACAACAACCAUGACAACAACAAUGGCCACAUUUUACUAAGGAUUCAUCAUGUACCAGAUAAAAGAAUGUAAGAUUAAAAAGACAUAUAUGCUGUCAGUGCUGCUGCCACCCUCUACUCUGCACAUGGGAUGGGGAAUUCAUUAAGAAGAGGAGCUGAAGUUCCGAGCUGUCAGUGGAGCCCCGGGAAGCUACUGAGAAUCACACCUGAUCCCCGUAGGGUGCUGAACUCAUCACAUCACACUUAGAUGACAGGGACGCUGCGCCUGCUUGGCAGGCAGUACUCUGGCCAACAGAUUUAUUUUUGUCAAAAGACCAAGCUACAGUGAUGAGAAGAAGUCUGAUGUCGAGAAACGUGUCUUAAGUGAAAGGUUCCAGAUAUAUUUGUUUUGGCCUGAGGAUGGCACUCUCUUCUCCUCAUCCAGCUGACUGAUAAUCAUGUGGGGUUCUUCCUCUUCCUCCUUUCUGCCCUGUGAUGUCAGGGAUGCAAACUGAAACCAGGCUCUCAAUGGAUUGGAUAAUGUCCAUUGCAUUGGUGAGGGCGAGCUUUACUCUGUACCAAAUCAAAUGCUAAUCUCCUAAGGCAACAUCCUCACAGACACUCCCUGAAAUGUUUUGCCAGCAACACAGAACAUCCCUGAUCCCAGUCAAGUUGCAUAUAAAACUAACAGUUACUAAUAACUGCAAUUGAAGAAGAACGCUCCGUAUCCUCUUUGCCAGUUGGUGUUUAUCUGAGACAGCGGAGAAAAAGGGACAGAGUGCCUGUGUAUGUGUGUUAAUCAGGCGUUAUCAGCACCCUGCCCCAAAAGGAAGUGUUAAAAUAAUGUUUUUGACAUUCAGACUUUUUUCAAAUUUGAUGUAACCUGAGAGUUGGCAAACAAAGGCUCACAGGUGAAAUCUGACCUGUUGCUGGUCUUUGUAAAUAAAGUUUUAUUGUA